UACAGAGGGGGCAAGCGUUGUUCGGAAUUACUGGGCGUAAAGGGCGCGUAGGCGGUCUUGCAAGUCCUGUGUGAAAUCCCUCGGCUCAACUGAGGAACUGCACAGGAAACUGCUUGGCUUGAGUUCGGGAGAGGGAAGCGGAAUUCCGGGUGUAGCGGUGAAAUGCACAGAUAUCAGGAGGAACACCGGUGGCGAAGGCGGGUCUCUGGGCCGAUACUGACGCUGAGGAGCGAAAGCGUGGGGAGCGAACAGG
rnacentral:rRNA from 1 species